rnacentral:rRNA from 1 species
UACGUAGGGUGCAAGCGUUGUCCGGAAUUAUUGGGCGUAAAGAGCUCGUAGGCGGCCUGUUACGUCUGCUGUGAAAUCCCGGGGCUUAACCCCGGGCGUGCAGUGGAUACGGGCAGGCUGGAGGCAGGCAGGGGAGAACGGAAUUCCCGGUGUAGCGGUGAAAUGCGCAGAUAUCGGGAGGAACACCGGUGGCGAAGGCGGUCCUCUGGGCCUGUACUGACGCUGAGAAGCGAAAGCGUGGGGAGCGAACAGG